GGAGAAGCCGCACGCUGGUCCGGAGAAGCCACACGCGCUUCAGGAGAACCCAUGCGCUGUUCUGGAGAAUCGUUAGCUGAUCGAUGUAUUCCAUACCAUUUUGACCGGAAAUGACGAACUCGAUGGGGGCUUUGCCGACGACUUGCGAAAUGGGAAGAACGUCUUGAUAAUAUAUAUCUCUAUAGCUGUCUGUGUUGGAGGUACAUAUUGAAAGAUCGUGAAAGAUUGGGUCCAGUUAGCUUGCUUGUACGACUUUACCAUGCGGAGGAGACUUUUCUUUUCACCAUCGAUGAUAGUUCCAUCACUUACGUCGCAAUAGGUUCAAUCCAUAGAUGUCGACUGAAGUCGUCAAUAACCAUCAAAAGAUAUCGCACUCCCGAAUUAUGUUUGGGUAGAGAUGUCAUGUCUGCCAAAUCAGCAUCGUACUGUUCACCUGGCACGCCAACUUCAACACGUGCACGUUUAAAUGAGCGCCUAACUGGUUUAUGUAAACUAUAAUCAUCAAGACUCUGUAUAUAUCUUCUGAUCUUAUAUAUGCCAAGGAUUUUAAUACCUUGUGUUUUCAAUAUUUGGUGAACCUUCACGGGACUGAGAAAUGCACCACCAUUCUCCAAAUUAUAAUAUACGUCAUCUAUAAGUCUUGUUUAUGUACAAACUUUUAUUAACAUUGAUACAUAUUACAACGUUUUGUGAAACCAAUCUUCUUCACGAUUCAUGGACAUGACCAUUAUACCGACUCUCUCUUUCCAUUUUUCUGUUUUAAGUUCAUAACUUCUCCAUUCAGCAUUACAUAAUUGUGAAAUGAAAGCAUUUCUAGCACUUCUUUGGUUUUUAAAACAAUAAAGUUUCUUGAAUAAAGUCACGAAU